rnacentral:rRNA from 1 species
UUGCNCAUGGCUCAGAUUGAACGCUGGCGGCAGGCCUAACACAUGACAAGUCGAGCGGUAACAGAAGUAGCUUGCUACUUUGCUGACGAGCGGCGGACGGGUGAGUAAUGCUUGGGAACAUGCCUUGAGGUGGGGGACAACAGUUGGAAACGACUGCUAAUACCGCAUAAUGUCUACGGACCAAAGGGGGCUUCGGCUCUCGCCUUUAGAUUGGCCCAAGUGGGAUUAGCUAGUUNGUGAGGUAAUGGCUCACCAAGGCAACGAUCCCUAGCUGGUUUGAGAGGAUGAUCAGCCACACUGGAACUGAGACACGGUCCAGACUCCUACGGGAGGCAGCAGUGGGGAAUAUUGCACAAUGGGCGAAAGCCUGAUGCAGCCAUGCCGCGUGUGUGAAGAAGGCCUUCGGGUUGUAAAGCACUUUCAGUCAGGAGGAAAGGGUGUGAGUUAAUACCUCAAAUCUGUGACGUUACUGACAGAAGAAGCACCGGCUAACUCCGUGCCAGCAGCCGCGGUAAUACGGAGGGUGCGAGCGUUNAUCGGAAUUACUGGGCGUAAAGCGUACGCAGGCGGUUUGUUAAGCGAGAUGUGAAAGCCCCGGGCUCACCUGGAACUGCAUUUCGAACUGGCAAACUAGAGUGUGAUAGAGGGUGGUAGAAUUUCAGGUGUAGCGGUGAAAUGCGUAGAGAUCUGAAGGAAUACCGAUGGCGAAGGCAGCCACCUGGGUCAACACUGACGCUCAUGUACGAAAGCGUGGGGAGCAAACGGGAUUAGAUACCCCGGUAGUCCACGCCGUAAACGAUGUCUACUAGAAGCUCGGAACCUCGGUUCUGUUUUUCAAAGCUAACGCAUUAAGUAGACCGCCUGGGGAGUACGGCCGCAAGGUUAAAACUCAAAUGAAUUGACGGGGGCCCGCACAAGCGGUGGAGCAUGUGGUUUAAUUCGAUGCAACGCGAAGAACCUUACCUACACUUGACAUACAGAGAACUUUCUAGAGAUAGAUUGGUGCCUUGCGGGA